AAUGACGGUACUUGAGGAGGAAGCCCCGGCUAACUACGUGCCAGCAGCCGCGGUAAUACGUAGGGGGCUAGCGUUAUCCGGAUUUACUGGGCGUAAAGGGUGCGUAGGCGGUCUUUCAAGUCAGGAGUGAAAGGCUACGGCUCAACCGUAGUAAGCUCUUGAAACUGGGAGACUUGAGUGCAGGAGAGGAGAGUGGAAUUCCUAGUGUAGCGGUGAAAUGCGUAGAUAUUAGGAGGAACACCAGUU
rnacentral:rRNA from 1 species